rnacentral:rRNA from 1 species
AAUGAACGUUGGCGGCGUGGAUUAGGCAUGCAAGUCGAGCGAGAACCGUAGCAAUACGGGGACAGCGGCGAAAGGGAGAGUAAUACGUGGGUACCUACCCUCGGAUUCAGGAUAGCCAUGGGAAACUAUGGGUAAUACUGAAUAACGUCUUCGGACCAAAGGUGUGAUUCCGUCCGAGGAGGGGCCCGCGUCCUAUUAGCUAGUUGGCGAGGUAACGGCUCACCAAGGCUGAGAUGGGUAUGGGAUGUGAGAGCAUGAUCCCACUCAUUGGGACUGAGACACUGCCCAGACACCUACGGGUGGCUGCAGUCGAGAAUCUUCGGCAAUGGGGGCAACCCUGACCGAGCGACGCCGCGUGCGAGAUGAAGGCCUUCGGGUUGUAAAUCGCUGUCAGAGGGGAGGAAAUGCCGGUGGGUUCUCCCAUCGGUUUGACCUAGCCUCAGAGGAAGGACGGGCUAAGUUCGUGCCAGCAGCCGCAGUAACAC